AAACCGGAGCUAAUACCGGAUAAUAUAUUGAACCGCAUGGUUCAAUAGUGAAAGACGGUUUUGCUGUCACUUAUAGAUGGAUCCGCGCCGCAUUAGCUAGUUGGUAAGGUAACAGCUUACCAAGGCAACGAUGCGUAGCCGACCUGAGAGGGUGAUCGGCCACACUGGAACUGAGACACGGUCCAG
rnacentral:rRNA from 1 species